AAAGAAAGCGUAAUAGCUCACUGGUCGAGUCGGCCUGCGCGGAAGAUGUAACGGGGCUAAACCAUGCACCGAAGCUGCGGCAGCGACGCUUAUGCGUUGUUGGGUAGGGGAGCGUUCUGUAAGCCUGCGAAGGUGUGCUGUGAGGCACGCUGGAGGUAUCAGAAGUGCGAAUGCUGACAUAAGUAACGAUAAAGCGGGUGAAAAGCCCGCUCGCCGGAAGACCAAGGGUUCCUGUCCAACGUUAAUCGGGGCAGGGUGAGUCGACCCCUAAGGCG
rnacentral:rRNA from 1 species